ACUGUCCCUAAGAAGUGUUACAAUUGUGGCUGCUGUAUCACAUGUGUGUCAGUAGGUGGCAGAGAGGAGAAAGACUGUGUCUAUGCUCAGUGUCUGACCUACAAAACAUCUGAAUGAUUACUAACCUAAAAUU